AAGGAUAUAUUCGGAACAUCUCGUAGAGAUGAGGARUAACGUGACAUAUUGUAUUCAGUUUUGAAUGUUUAUUUUAAACAUUCAAYAACUAAAUGAAAAUUGCAUUCAAAAUUAUAUUUUGAUAUACUAUUUUGAUGUGAUUGUUUGUUUGUUGAUUGUACAUUGAAAACUAGAUAAGUAAGUAAAAUAGAUUUUACCAAGCAAAACCGAGUGAAUAAGAGUUUUAAAAAAGCUUGAAUUCAUAAAAUAUAAUCGCUAGUGUUCGAAAGAACACUCACAAGAUUAAUAACAGGUUUCUUAARAUUAGAACUCACGUUCUAAUAUGGUGGAAACAUA
rnacentral:misc_RNA from 1 species